CCAGGCUACGUCACGGCCGAGGCCGCCAAUCCCGCGGGCGGUGGCGCCGCAUUGGCUGCGGAGCUUUAUUUCUAGAGGUGCCAGUUUAUUCCCGGAGGUGCGGCCAGUCUCCCUGGUUGCGUGUUUCUUAGCCCGUUAGUAAUUAGCGUCUGCGCGAUCCACGUGGGCAAAAAACAUUUCUGAAGGGAUCCUGUGGCGUUUAAAGAACAGUUGGGACGUGAUACUUGUAAGGAAGAUACUUCCUUGACUUGCCCACUCAUCCUGCUAGUGAUUGUGCUGACUAAGCGUGUUAGCAGCCACGGAAAACGCUUCAUGUGUCAACCUUUUUCCCGGGUGUUACAGCAUAGUCAACUGGAUGUGGACGACAUAGUGUCACUGCAUUUGGAGUCAUAUUCAGUACAAGUGUUGGGAAACAAACGCAACCACGCUAGCUUCGCUGGACACUGCAGCUCCUAGAUUAGAGAGAGCUCUGACAAUUCUGUGUGCAGGGAGAACCCAUGUUGGAAUGCUGUAGCCAUAUAAUAUUUAGAGUCCAAGCAAAGAUUCCAGGUGGUCUUUCAACGUUUAGGUCGAGGGAUUAGGACAAGGGAUGGACUAAGAACCACCAUCAAUUCGAAAAUUUGCGACGCUGAGCAGUGUAUGGUGUGGUGCACAUCUGAUCUACCGGUUAUAGAUUUCAUAAAAGAUAUUUUUGUUAAGGACUUCUUAACAGCAGUACUACACAAUCCUUCACUCAGUUCUGUUAGAAGGCUAAUUGGCUUAACAAAUAGCUUCAUUCACUCACAUUCAGCCACAUCCAUUCAACAAAUACCUUUGAGAACUGCUCUGUACCAGCCAACCACCAGACAGGGCAAUGCAGUGAUCAAGAGUCUGGGGAAAGAGGAUGGCUAAGAGGACAAGCUUUGACGUAGAUCAUCUCUGCUCUCAAACCCUAAUUACCACCACCCACAAACUAUGUGCUCCUGGGCAAGUCAUGUAAUCUCUCUUGA